rnacentral:rRNA from 1 species
UGGGGAAUUUUGGACAAUGGGGGAAACCCUGAUCCAGCCAUCCCGCGUGUGCGAUGAAGGCCUUCGGGCUGUAAAGCACUUUUGGCAGGAAAGAAACGUCAUGGGUUAAUACCCCGUGAAACUGACGGUACCUGCAGAAUAAGCACCGGCUAACUACGUGCCAGCAGCCGCGGUAAUACGUAGGGUGCAAGCGUUAAUCGGAAUUACUGGGCGUAAAGCGUGCGCAGGCGGUUCGGGAAGAAAGAUGUGAAAUCCCAGAGCUCAACUUUGGAACUGCAUUUUUAACUACCGGGCUAGAGUGUGUCAGAGGGAGGUGGAAUUCCGCGUGUAGCAGUGAAAUGCGUAGAUAUGCGGAGGGACACCGAUGGCGAAGGCAGCCUCCUGGGAUAGCACUGACGCUCAUGCACGAAAGCGUGGGGAGCAAACAGG